GAUGAAGAACGUAGCGAAAUGCGAUAAGUAAUGUGAAUUGCAGAAUUCAGUGAAUCAUCGAAUCUUUGAACGCACAUUGCGCCCCUUGGUAUUCCGAGGGGCAUGCCUGUUCGAGCGUCAUUAUAACCCCUCAAGCUUAGCUUGGUGUUGGGGCCUGCUGUAAUAGAGCAGCCCUUAAAAUCAGUGGCGGUGCCAUUAGGCUCUAAGCGUAGUAAUUCUUCUCGCUAUAGGGUUCUGGUGGAUGCUUGCCAUUAACCUCUAAUUUUCUAUGGUUGACCUCGGAUCAGGUAGGGAUACCCGCUGAACUUAAGCAUAUCAAUAAGGGAGGA
rnacentral:misc_RNA from 1 species